CAACUGCGUCUUGGGAGCCCUGAAAUGCAGCGCACAGCAUCAAAAGGCUGCUGGAGGAAAAACAGCGUUUGAAAUACACACGGCCAGAAGGAAUAUAUUACAAAAUCAUUUUCAUUUUGAAGAAGUAAUCAGAAUACAGAGCCGAGAAAGAAGUCUACCCCCAAAAGAGCAAGCACCACAAAACUGGAUCUUCCCCUGUUCCUUAGGCUGAAGUGAUUCUUCUCAAAAGCAAUACAUUCUCAGAGUUCCCAUUGUGACUCAAAGGAAACGAAUCUGA